rnacentral:ribozyme from 1 species
CAGUAAAAGAGAAAAAAGAGGUAAAAGGGAAAAAAUGAAUUGACGAUGAUGUAUAUGAAUAUGAGUAGUGAAUGGUUUUAUGCCUUCAUGCCUUCAUGCCUUCAUGCUUUCUUGCCUUU